rnacentral:rRNA from 1 species
GAUUCGUCUUUAUGCCUAGAUUUAUACCCGAACCCUUAUCGAAUUCGAGUGUCCUCGUCUAGGUAGCCACACAUACUAGUUUUUCUGGGAACCAUGGCUCUUUAAGAUUUUAAUUCUGUGUAAAUAAAAAGUUUGC